UACGUAGGGUGCGAGCGUUAAUCGGAAUUACUGGGCGUAAAGCGUGCGCAGGCGGUUUUGUAAGUCAGAUGUGAAAUCCCCGGGCUCAACCUGGGAACUGCGUUUGAAACUACAAGGCUAGAGUGUAGCAGAGGGGGGUAGAAUUCCGCGUGUAGCAGUGAAAUGCGUAGAGUAUGCGGAGGAACACGAGUGGAGCACGAA
rnacentral:rRNA from 1 species